rnacentral:lncRNA from 1 species
UCACAGUUGUAAUGUAUUUUCAUACUCUGUACUGACUUCCUCAAGGGCCUAGCCCUGUCUGACUGCCUAGAAUAUUUUUACCUAAUUUAGCUCUCUAUAAUAAUCAUAGGGACAAAAAAAUAGAUUAGUGGUCACCAGAGUCUGGGAAUGGGGAGUGAACUACUCAUGAGCCUAAAGUUUCUUUGGGGGUUUUUUUUGGGGGGGGUGUGAAUUAUUGAUGGACCCUAGUUAGCAAGACAGACUCCAGCCGAGUCUAGGUGAAGGGGCCAGACGGGGCCUGUAGGUGGCGGGAGGGGGCCGAGCUGGAGCCAGAGAGGGUGCCUGGCCCGGAGACCCCCAUCCUGGCGUACCAUCCCGGUUCAGGGGGAGGAGGAGGAUGAUCUCCAGAUACACUCAGAAGGCCGUGCCACAGAGCUUGGAGCUGAAAGGAAUAACAAAACAGGCUCUUAAUCAUCAUCCUCUUCCAGAGCAACUAGAUGAAACUUCCUCUGCCAGUGACAGUCACGAAAAAGACACAAGUUCCCAAAGUGAAUCUGACAUCACCCAAGAAUCACCUUUUACAUCAACUGACACUGGGAAUUCAAGGUCUGCUUUUCUGAGUUAUACAGGCACAGGGAUCUCUACAGAAGGGAGUUUGGACUUCUCCUGGGAAUAUGGGUCUUGUUAUAUAGUUCAGGCUGGCCUUGAACUCACUAUGUGGCCUGGGCUGGCCUUGGAUUCACAGCAGUCCUCCUGCCUCAGCUGCCCAAGUGCUGGGAUUACAGGUGUGUGCCACCAACCCCAGCUCAUUUCCAUAUUGGUGGAAUUUCUCUAUUGCUUUUUUUUUUUUGGUGCUAGGUAUUGAACUCAGGACCUUGCACUUGUGAGGCAGGCCCAGUGCCACUCAGCUAAAUCCCUGGCUGGAAUUUCUUUAUUUUAUUUUUUUCUGGUACCAGGAAUCAAACUCAGGACCUUGCACUUGCCAGGCAGGUGCAGUGCCACUGAGCUACAUCCCCCGCCCUAGAAUUUCUUUAGUUUUUACCAUAGGGAUGGAUGUACUUUUCUGUAAAGGGCCAAAAAGUAAAUACUUCAGACUUUGCAGGCUUUUGAGAACCCCAUCUCUGUCACUAGUAAGAAAGCAGCUGUAAGCAGUGUGUAAAGGGGUUGAAUGUUUUGCAAUGAAACUCUACAGUAUUUACAAACAGGUGAUGGGCUGGAUUUGCACACUGGCCAGAGUUUGCUGAUCCUGUUCCAGAUACUUAAAACAGAAACUUACACAGACACUCC